rnacentral:rRNA from 1 species
AUACGGAGGAUCCGAGCGUUAUCCGGAUUUAUUGGGUUUAAAGGGAGCGUAGGCGGACUAUUAAGUCAGCUGUGAAAGUUUGCGGCUCAACCGUAAAAUUGCAGUUGAUACUGGUCGUCUUGAGUGCAGUAGAGGUAGGCGGAAUUCGUGGUGUAGCGGUGAAAUGCUCAGAUAUCACGAAGAACUCCGAUUGCGAAGGCAGCUUACUGGACUGUAACUGACGCUGAUGCUCGAAAGUGUGGGUAUCAAACAGGAUUAGAUACCCUGGUAGUCCACACAGUAAACGAUGAAUACUCGCUGUUUGCGAUAUACGGCAAGCGGCCAAGCGAAAGCAUUAAGUAUUCCACCUGGGGAGUACGCCGGCAACGGUGAAACUCAAAGGAAUUGACGGG